rnacentral:rRNA from 1 species
AACGAACGCUGUCGGUAGGCUUAACACAUGCAAGUCGAACGCCCCGCGAGGGGAGUGGCAGACGGGUGAGUAACGCGUGGGAAUCUACCCAACCCUGCGGAAUAGCUCUGGGAAACUGGAAUUAAUACCGCAUACGCCCUACGGGGGAAAGAUUUAUCGGGGAUGGAUGAGCCCGCGUUGGAUUAGCUAGUUGGUGGGGUAAAGGCCUACCAAGGCGACGAUCCAUAGCUGGUCUGAGAGGAUGAUCAGCCACAUUGGGACUGAGACACGGCCCAAACUCCUACGGGAGGCAGCAGUGGGGAAUAUUGGACAAUGGGCGCAAGCCUGAUCCAGCCAUGCCGCGUGAGUGAUGAAGGCCUUAGGGUUGUAAAGCUCUUUCACCGGUGAAGAUAAUGACGGUAACCGGAGAAGAAGCCCCGGCUAACUUCGUGCCAGCAGCCGCAGUAAUAC